AAUAAGUCGCUGACGAGAAGAGUAAGACAGGAAUGCUUUUCCAAAGAGAGCCGGCAUAUGGUGAAAGCCGGUGUCCAGUACCUGAUCCGAAGAUCAUCUCUGAGAUGCAAAGCUGAAAUACAGUAAGCUUUGACGGGUUUUCCACCGUUACAUUGGAACGCGUAUGAUUGUACGUAGCUGAGUGCUACAGUUUUGAACUGCAGAAUUAGAGUGUAUCGCGAGUAUAGACUCGUCCCUUUC
rnacentral:ncRNA from 1 species